CCCCUUUUAGCAGAUAGUAACUCAAGUAUAUAGAAGAUACAAGUAACCAAAGGGAGUUUUGGUUUCAUGUGUCGAUCCUCCUUUUUCCGUACUUGCUGGUAGCAUUUUCCUUUUUUUGGUUUCAUAUGGCAUCUAUCUUAUAUUUCUGGCAGCAGUUAAAUUGAACUAGAGGCAGAAAACAAACUUGAUACACUAUAAAUGUGUUUCUAGAUUGUACUAACUCGCCGUUUUUUUGUGUAUUGAAAAUAUUUUCUUAGUGUCAGAAUCACCAUUUGAUGCACUAAUACUUGCAGCGCUUCCACUUUAGUACAUUAUUUGCUAUCACAUAUAUUAAUAUAGUUGACGAAAUCUUCUAGUUAAUGCUAACAUGUCUGCUUAAAAUGGGAAAGAUGGCUAAUUUGUGGGUUGAGCAUAUUUAUAACUAAUUAUAGCCUAUCAAUCCCAUUCUGAUUGUAAGCAGUAGGAAGAUACAAGAAGUUCAAUCAUAAUAAUGAUGAUCUAGUUCAAGAAUAAGGCAGUACUUAAAUCUUAAUAAUGUACGUACAUGGUACUUUUAUGAGAUAUUCGUGUUUGUUCUGGUGAUGGCCAAAUAUUACCUGAAAAUCAUUUGUGCAUUUGAAAAGUUCAUACAAUAAACUUACCAAGGACAUAACUUGCAGUCCCUUGGCUUACUUUCUAAUUUGAUUUAGGAUCAGUCGAGUUAUCUAUAUUAUUAAACAUAGUUUUCGUCUUCACAGGGUGGUUGAUACAUGUCUUCACACUUUUCAGAGCAACAUGCAGUGGAAGAAGCAGCCUAUGAACUGAAAUAGUUUGCAUAAGAAACAGGUGAUGCGAGUAUGUUAUCAUUUGAUUUACACAUAGUAUGUACAACCCAUGAACCAUUUUCCAUAGUUCUCUUGUGGAACCCUUUUCAUUUUUGAUGAACACACAAAUGCUCCAAGACCGAUUUUCCUGUCAUUUAGCUAGUUUAUCGAUCAGAUAAUAUUGAACUAAGAACACUAGUACAUGUAUUAAAUAUCGUACGUCAGAGUAAACCAAAUGGCAAGCGAGGAAAAUGUGUCACACAUAACACUUCAGUGUAUCUGAAAUUGUAAAACCUAUUUGUGAAAUUAUAGCAUCACUAGAUAACAUUUUGUGUCUUGUAUAUAAAAAUGAACUCCACAUACUGCAAUUUUAAAAUUAAAAAUAUGAAAUCACAUGACGUAAUCUGAUGCUCAUAUAGAUUGCUUAGUAGUUAGCAUGCAUCUAUCAGUUUGGUGUUAACACUUUGAUUGUCACAAUCUAAAGAUCACAUGGCAUAUACAGAACUUCACAUACUGCAGUUUUUUUUGUCUGAAGCUAUACAUUUUAAUUCUAGUUCAUUAGACAACAUACGACUACAUUUGUUUUUGACAUUUAUUUUCAAACUUUGAAGUGCACAAAAUCGUUGGAGUGAACAUAUGAGAAUUUGACCAUUCAUUUUCAGGUACUCAACCAUCUACUGCGCAUGGAUGUGAUACUUCGGAGUGUUCGGCAGCAUUUGGCUGUUUGCAGUAUUUUGGACCAGCCAACUUGCGAUCAUGAAUCUUAUGUAUGUUCUGGACUAUUUGGUGCUUCAAGUGAUUUGGAGCAUAUAUCUUGUGCUCAUGGGUGUGACUUUGUUCUGGACCAUUUAGUGCUUGAACUCCUUUAGAACAACAGAUAGUGGUCCUUUUAUGUGGCUUGUGUUUUCUAGAUGGUGGUCCAAAUGGCCAAACUUUGCUUUAUCAAGAUUGUCCUGUUUUUGAACUUAUGAUCAAUAUAUGUAUGUUUGUGAACAUAUUAUCAAUGCUUGUGCAAUAUGUGUUCAUCUUGAUCCUGUUUGUGUAUAACAUUUGAGCAUUGUAUAAUAUUUCAAUCUGAGCAGCAUCCAAUUGUUGUUUUGGCU
rnacentral:lncRNA from 1 species